GUCAGUAUUGCUCAGUAGGUAGAGCAUCAGCCUGCAGACUGAAAGGUACUGGGUUCAAUUCCAGUCAAGGGCA
rnacentral:tRNA from 1 species